CCCGCCUCCCUCGCCCCCCCUUCAACCCCUACACCCACCCACACUUCGCUCCGGAGCCUCUUCCACAGAGAGCUCCACGCUUUGAUUCGGGAGCUGAGUGCUCCCCAGGUUAAAAGUGCUGCAGACCUGAAUGUCCCAUAACUAUGCCCCGGGAAGCAGAAGCGGACUGGAGGGCAGUAGGAACGGCCUGGGCCACGAUAUGGUGGCUCACACAAAUUCUUCUAAAGCAGAGGGAGAGUUUUUAAAUUCAUGUGGACUGCUUGGAAGUGAUUUAAAGCAAGAAGUAAGGGAGUUGGAAAGCAGGAAGCAAUGGGAAGGAAACAAACAGAAGUUCAAAGGUAUGUUUAAGGUGCUCAAGGGCAGAGAACAUGUCUUAUGCUUUAAAAACAAGUCCUCCAUGGUACCUCACUAUACUAGGUACUCAACAAAUAUUUACUGAUCUGAUCUGAGUGAAAAAACAUUAAAAGAAAGAUAUAGUGGACAAACUUAAGAACCUUCAAAUCACUACCUG
rnacentral:lncRNA from 1 species